rnacentral:rRNA from 1 species
CAGCAGCCGCGGUAAUACGAAGGGGGCUAGCGUUGCUCGGAAUGACUGGGCGUAAAGGGCGCGUAGGCGGCGAUCAAAGUCAGGCGUGAAAUUCCUGGGCUCAACCUGGGGGCUGCGUUUGAUACUUGAUUGCUAGAGUGGGGAAGAGGGUCGUGGAAUUCCCAGUGUAGAGGUGAAAUUCGUAGAUAUUGGGAAGAACACCAGUGGCGAAGGCGGCUCACUGGACCGACACUGACGCUGAGGCGCGAAAGCGUGGGGAGCAAACAGGAUUAGAUACCCCCGUAGUCCCUGUCUCUUAUAC